rnacentral:lncRNA from 14 species
AUUUUGAGUUCUUUUCCCCUUAGGUCUGUCUAGAAUCCUAAAGGCAGAUGACUCAAGGGAACCAGGAAAAAAAGAAAAUCCAGUAUCAGGAUAAGCAGAACUCAACAGGUUUACAGUUUCUAGAAAUUAGAUGAAUAGCUUUCACGUUGAAUAUGGAGGAGCUGUCCAUUGGCGAAAUGGCUGGUAGUUUAUUCUUUUCCCCCUCCCUUAACAAGACUUGUAAAAUUCCUAAUCUUUUGAAUAUUUUUACUUGAAAUAUUUGGGAAUGGUCUUAACAGGGAGGAGUGGGUGGGGGAAAAUGUUUUUUCUAAGAUUUUCCACAGAUGCUAUAGUUCUGUUGGCACACUGGGUUAGAGAAGGCGUGUACUGCUAUGCUGUUGGCACGACACCUUCAGGGACUGGAGCUGCCCUUUAUCCUUGGAAGAGUUUCCCCAGUGGCCGCUGAAGUACAGCACAGUGCAGCUUUGGUUCACAGUCACCUCAGGAGAACCUCAGGAGCUUGAGUAGGCCAGAUGUUAAAGUUAAGUUUUCAAGCACCAUGACUUAAACAUUUCAUUAAAGGGGAGGGGCAAAACUUAGUUGGCUGUGACCUGUUGUAUUUGGGUGGGGGGGAGGUUAGGUAAUUGUUUAGUUUAUGAUUUCAGAUAAUCAUACCAGAGAACUUAAAUAUUUGGAAAAACUGAGGAAAUCUCAGCUUUCAAGUUGGCAAGUAACUCCCAAUCCAGUUUUUUGCUUCUAUUUUUUUUCCUUUUCUUUUUAUUUUUUUGAUUUGGGCAGUAAGGAAGAUUGCCUUGGGUGUUCCCACUAAUCCAAUAUUGUGGGCAAGGAAAGUAAAUCACAACAGUCGUCUGUUCCCGUGAAAGUGUGUAGGGUUUGGGGGUUGGUCUGAUCACUAGAGUGGUGUGGAAGUUACAGUGUGGGGAUUCUCUAGAAGCUACCGGAUAUAGAUUGUAGUGUGUGGUUCUCUUUUGAAAUUUUUUUUCAGGUGACUUAAUGUAUCUUAAUAACUACUAUAGGAACUUCAGAGCAAAGGAAGUGGCUUUAAUGACCCUGAAGGGAUUUCUUCUGGUGAUAGCUUUUAUAUUAUCAAGUAAGAGAUUCCAUCUCAGUUUUGUAUAAGCAAGUCUUUCCUAGUGUAGGAGAAAUGAGUUUCCUUGUGACUAAACAAGAUGUAAGGUAUGCUUAUUUUUUGUAUAUUGUAUACUUUGUAUUUGCAAUUUAUAAUGUAAGAAUUGUGGUAGUUCAGCCUGAAUGUCUUUUAGAGGGUGGGCUUUUGUUGAUGAGGGAGGGGAAACCUUUUUUUUUCUGUAGACCUUUUUCAGAUAACACCAUCUGAGUCAUAACCAGCCUGGCAGUGUGAUGACCUAGAUGCAGAGGGAACAGCUCCUUGGUGAAUGAGUGAUAAGUAAAGGCAGAAAAGAUAAUGUCAUGUCUCCAUGGGGAAUGAGCAGGAGCCUGAGAGUCUUACUGCUGAUGAAGUCUGCAUAUGCAAUAAUUAAGCAAAUGAGAGCAACCAGUAUAAAGUUAUGGAAAUCUACCUUUAAAAGUUAUGGAAAUCUACCUUUAAAAGUUAAUGGCUUACCAAGCUUUAUCCACAAAAGUAAAGAAUUGAUGAAAACCAGUGAAGAUCAAACGUUCAUCUCAACUGCUUUUACAAAAGCAGAAUAAAAUGAAGUAAAAAUUCUACAUUAAUCCUGGAGUAAAAAGAAGCUGAGCUUACUGAGAGGAGUGGGAUCGAGUGGCUUGAGAGGCGGUGCAGUAUGCCAAUCUUUCGUUUGCCUCAGACAGGUUUCUCUUCAUAAGCAGAAGAGUUGCUUCAUUUCAUCUCGGAGCAGGAAACAGCAGACUGCUGUUAACAGAUAAGUUUAACUUGAAUCUGCAGUAUUGCAUGGUAGGGAUAAAUAUAGCUGUCUUAAGUUAAGAGGAGGUAUUGAAUGUUACUCACCUGACCCCUUCCUAGGGGGCUCAGGAUUGUGAGCAGUUUUCCCAUCCAGCCUCUUAAGAAUUCUAAGCCUUGUGCCAGUGGGCUUUCAUGAUGGGAUAGUAAGUAAGUAAACAGGCUUUUGCAUCCUAAAUUUCACCGCAAAAGCCUCAAAACAUGAUUAGUGCCUGCUUUAAUUACAUUUUUUACAAAAUUAAGGAAUCUUUACCAAUUGAACCUGAAGACCCCAUGAAAGGGACAUUUAAUGUGCUGAAAGUCAGAUGUUCAUAUUGCUAAAAUUUAAAUGUGCUCGAUGUACUUGUGCUUAAAAUCAUUAAAUCAUACAAAUUAAUAAAAUACUUCACUAGAGAAUGUAUGUAUUUAGAAGGCUGUCUCCUUAUUUAAAUAAAGUUUUGUUUGUUGUCUGUA